rnacentral:rRNA from 1 species
GACGAACGCUGGCGGCGUGCCUAACACAUGCAAGUCGAACGAAAAGACGAGGAGGUUUCUGCUUUGACGGUUGCAGGGGAGGGGAGAACAACACGAGGAUAACCCACCUAUUAGAAUGGGAAAUCUUCGGGAAAACGGAUCCUACACCAGAUAAUAUUUUGAACCGCAAGGGGGCAUAAUGAAAGACGGUUUUUGUGUGAUUUCUAGAUGGUUCCGCGCCGCAUUAGCUAGUUGGGAAGGUAACGGCUUACCAAGGCAACGAUGCGUAGCCGACCUGAGAGGGUGAUCGGCCACACUGGAACUGAGACACGGUCAAGACUCCUACGGGAGGCAGCAGUAGGGAAUCUUCCGCAAUGGGCGAAAGCCUGACGGAGCAACGCCGCGUGAGUGAUGAAGGUCUUCGGAUCGUAAAACUCUGUUAUUAGGGAAGAACAAAUGUGUAAGUAACUAUGCACGUCUUGACGGUACCUAAUCAGAAAGCCACGGCUAACUACGUG